UUAUUUAUUUAACGGCCGCAGUAUUCUGACUGUGCUAAGGUAGCAUAAUAGUUUGUCUCUUAAUUAGAGUCUAGAAUAAAAGAUCUUAUAAGUUUAAACUUUCUUCUUUUGAAAAAUUUAAUUUUAUUAUUGAGUGAAAAGGCUCAAAUGUCCAAGAAAGACGAUAAGACCCUAUAAAACUUCAUCACGACAAUACUUAUAGUGAUAAUUUUAUUAAAAUCACAAUAUAUAAUCAGUGAUUAAGUUGGGGCGACUAUAAUUAAAUCCUAAACAUUUUAGUUUUUAAUAAUCAAAUUUAAAUAAAUUAAGAUCCUCAAAAAGAUUAUUUGAUAAAGUUACUUUAGGGAUAACAGCGUAAUUUUUUUAGAGAGCUCCUAUCGAUAAAAAA
rnacentral:rRNA from 1 species